rnacentral:misc_RNA from 1 species
CAGAGUUAUCCAACUCCCAAACCCAUGUGAACUUAUCUCUUUGUUGUCUCGGCGCAGGCUACCCGGGACCUCGCGCCCCGGGCGGCCCGCCGGCGGACAAACCAAAACUCUUGUUAUCUUAGUUGAUUAUCUGAGUGUCUUAUUUAAUAAGUCA